AUUGAACGCUGGCGGCAGGCCUAACACAUGCAAGUCGAGCGAGCGGCGGACGGGUGAGUAAUGUAUGGGGACUGCCCGAUCGAGGGGGAUAACUACUGGAAACGGUGGCUAAUACCGCAUACUAUCGGCUAACCCAUAUGGGAUUAGCUAGUAGGUGGGGUAAAGGCUCACCUAGGCGACGAUCUCUAGCUGGUCUGAGAGGAUGAUCAGCCACACUGGGACAGAGACACGGCCCAGACUCGUACGGAUGCAGCAGUGGGGGAUAGUGCAGAAUGUGCGAAAGCCUGAUGCAGCGAAGCCGCGUGGGGGGUGAAGGCUGUCGGGUUGUAAACCUCGUUCGCUAUCGAACGGGUAGGUGGAGAAGAAGCGCCGGCUAACUACGUGCCAGCAGCCGCGGUGAUUC
rnacentral:rRNA from 1 species